AGAGGUGAUCAGGAUCGAGCGUGAUGCUGAUGCUGUCGUUGAUAGGGAGGAUUAGGGUUUCGUCACGCUUGCCCCAGUAUUUGAUGACGGCGAUGUUGGUGGGGGAUCUGGCCGUGGCCAUCAGGAUCCACUUCUCCGGCUCUGUCGACAUUGGCGAGGAGAGUGGUUUUCCGGUGAGCGGGAGUUGCGGAAGACCGGCGGCAGGUUUGAG
rnacentral:misc_RNA from 1 species